GUAGGGAAGUAUGCUGAAGUUGGUGUUGGUUAGAUUAACUUUUACAUACAUUAUGGUGUGCUGAUGUACGCAUAGCUGACAUUGCCAUGACAUUUGAGGACUGUGGGUACUGUAGGCCUAUUUGGUGACCUUGGUGAUGCGUCUGUCUGUAGGAGGCUGUCUGCCAGUUCUAUCGCCUGUGCUGGGAGAAGUGCAAGCACUGCUUUCAUUGUGAGAUUGCUGCUCAGCUGAGCGACAGUGCUUGCUGUUCCUGUGUCUCAUCACUUACUGUAGAAAUCUAGCACUCAACAGCAGACCCACUCAAAUAGUUGUACCUGGUGCCAUAAUCAGUGUGAAGAGGAAGCAUUUUCAUCGGUGGUCUAUAUUUUCCUUUAGUGACAUCCAUGUUAGACAGAUUUGACAUACUAAAAUGGUCAAUGUGCAGUACUCUUCCUGUUUUGAAUUAUGUGGAGGAUCAACCAAACAACAAGAUAUCAAAUUUGAAACUUGACAAGUCAAAUGUUGGCUCCCUGUAUUUUGUGUAUGAAAUGCUGUGCCGUGUUUCUUGACCCUGCCUAGGUGCCAUGGUGUAUAAGGAAAGACAACUGUGCUGGUCUUCCUCAGCAUUGCCCUCAGCUGGACACCUGAGAACAGUUCACAGUAGGCUUCUCAGCAGUGUGCAGACUGAAGUUCCUGCAGAAGCCAUAGCUAGUCACCAAAAGGUGUGCGCAGACCAGGUACACACCAUCAUGGAAAUUCCUUGCUACAAACCAAGUACAUAAAUUCACGUGUCCUUUAUUUGAAAUAACAUCUACAGGUGCAGCUUUGAGUUUUCUGAGCAGAAUUCCAAAUAAUUUGCUGUUGUACCCACCAGAAUCUAAACCAUGAAUUAAAACACAUGUUUCUGCAA
rnacentral:lncRNA from 1 species